UACGUAGGGGGCAAGCGUUGUCCGGAUUUAUUGGGCGUAAAGAGCGUGUAGGCGGCCAGGUAGGUCUGCUGUGAAAACUCGAGGCUUAACCUCGAGCUGUCGGCGGAAACCAUCUGGCUAGAGUCCGGAAGAGGAGAAUGGAAUUCCCGGUGUAGCGGUGAAAUGCGCAGAUAUCAGGAGGAACACCUAUUGCGAAGGCAGCUCGCUGGGACGUAACUGACGCUGAGACGCGAAAGCGUGGGUAGCAAACAGG
rnacentral:rRNA from 1 species